AUACGUAGGUGACAAGCGUUAUCCGGAUUUACUGGGCGUAAAGGGCGUGUAGGCGGUCUUGCAAGUCAGAAGUGAAAUUCCUGAGCUCAACUCGGGCGCUGCUUCUGAAACUGCAGGACUUGAGUGCUGGAGGGGAUAGCGGAAUUCCUAGUGGAGCGGUAAAAUGCGCAGAUAUUAGGAAGAACACCGGUGGCGAAGGCGGCUAUCUGGACAGUAACUGACGCUGAGGCGCGAAAGCGUGGGGAGCAAACAGGAUUAGAUACCCUGGUAGUCCACGCUGUAAACGAUGAAUACUAAGUGUUGGAAAAAUCCAGUGCUGAAGUUAACGCAUUAAGUAUUCCGCCUGAGUAGUACGUACGCAAGUAUGAAACUCAAAUGAAUUGGCGGGG
rnacentral:rRNA from 1 species